AAUGAGAUCCUUGCUGGGUACAAUAAUCUGGGCUGUAGGUUAUUUUCUUUCAUCAUUUUAAGUAUGUCUUGCCAUUCCCUCCUGGCUUGAAGAGUUUCUAUUGAAAGAUCAGCUGUUAUCCUUAUGGGAAUUCCCUUGUGUGUUAUUUGUUGUUUUUCCCUUACUGCUUUUAAUAUUGUUCUUUGUGUUUGAUCUUUGUUAAUUUGAUUAAUAUGUGUCUUGGGGUGU
rnacentral:sRNA from 1 species